UUCAGGGAUAUAGAAACUUUUCCAUUGACACAACGCAGCAACAAGUGGGUGCUACUGAUAAUUGUUAUAAAAGUGUAGCCCCUUUUACUACACAGGGUGCUAAAAAAAAGUCCAAAUCAUUAGCAUUUACAUAUUUCAGGUUUUUCUCCAUCCAACUAGCCUAUAUACUUGCUGCAGCGACUGUUUUGCAAUGUGUCCACAUCAUUAUGCCUCUAGCUUGUUAAGACUUUGCCGACAGUUCUAAAAAUGAUCCUAUGUAAGACUAAAGAGUGAGAUAAAUACAUACGCGGGCUGUCUGACAGAAUCUGCACAAUGCAGAAAUAAACGAUUAGUAUCAACAGUAACAUUCCUAUACAUAUACAUCUGCUGAAGAUCUUUCCGAAAGUUGUUUCUGCAUCAGACGAGCUUAUGAAUUUGCUAUCCAUCCAAAGCAGGACCCUUUGAGAGAUGUCUUACUCUUCCAAAGUAUAUGCACAUAGCCACUGAAUCCUAUUUCUGUCUGAGCCAGAUAAAGUAUUGUAAUACUAUGAAAUUCCCUUUUCAUAUGAUAAGAGUGAGUUCGACAAUUUUGAUAGGAUUCCCUACUCAUUACCUUCUUAGGUAGCUGACUUAAGUAACUUACUCUAUCAAUCUCCGGUGAUCCCUUCAAAAUAUGAUGCCUCAGCAGUGUCCGUUGCUCCUUCAUCGCCUAUUGUGGCUUAGGAUCUACUGCUUCCUCAAACACUGCCUCUGGGGAACUAUGUCCAAUCCAAUAAUAUAAAUGGAAAUUUUAUUCUUCUGCAAUUCUACACAUUAAAACUAACAGAAGCAUAGAAUGAGCAACAAAGCAAUACAAGUUCUUUAGAAGAAUUUAGUGUUUAUGGCUAAGAUUCAUUAUAAAAUCUUUGAAUUUCACAACGUUUGUCAUGCUUUAUGAAACCUAAUGGGCAUAACUGCAAUAAAUACAGAAAUCAGGAGGAUUUUUAAGUUCCACAAAUCAAGAGCCAACUAAAAUAAGAUGAGUUAGCCAAAAGCCACACCAACUUAGAUUAACUAAGAAGUUGCAAUGCAUCAUCUAGGCCCUUUAUUGCGCUAUUGACCUUUGCUUUCAAGCCAAAAGAACAGUUAAUGUCGCUUGUAAUGUCGUUUGCACAUGGUUACAUGUCAUACGAUGCUCAGUAACUAGUUCUACUGCAAACCAUGUCAUUGCCAUGUUAUAAAAGCAAAGGCUCAAGAAAACUCCUGUUGUUUCAAGCCAAAAUCUCCAAUUAUCUCUUAGGGGUCGUUUGGUACGCGAGAUAAGGUGGGAUACCAGAGAAUGCCAUUGCAUCUGACCAUACUAUUGCACUGUUCUUGGCAGAGUAACCACUCAAAAGGUCAGCAUGUCAAUAUAAAAUCCACAGUUCUAUCAACAUUACAGUUCUAUCAACAUAGAGAAAUAGUGUAACUAUAACAACCAAAUUCCACAUGACCUCUUUUUUACCUGUUACAAAAGUAUUUUUAAAAAUUUGUGAUGGUGUUCGAGCCAACUUGCACACACUCCCAUCAACGAGGAUGCCAAGUAAUUUUGUCCACCUAGAUUUAGGCAGAAAGGAAGAAAUCACUUUGCGUAUUUUUGCCUCAAUCUCCCAUGCAGUACUUCAAGCUCUUAAGAUAUCCUAUCUGUUAAAAUUGGUUACUAUGGCCAUUGAAAAGGUCAUAUGCACAACAAAUCUAGUAGUUUAGUUGUUCCUCACAUGGAAUACUUUAUUUUUCAAAGUACAAGAAAUGUCUAGCACAAUUUACCAUUACACCCUUAUCUAAGGAUUGAAUGAACAAAAAGCUGCUCAAACCUAAACCUCCGUUCCCCAGUCAAGAACCGUCCAUCAUAGUGAACCUCUCCCCCGAUGAGGUGGAUGUCUCUUACUCAAGGGGAUCAAAUUAAAGGUCACUAGGUAACCACUGAUCUAUAGUUAUCCAUAAACUCCCAUGCUUAGUGGAGAAGAAGCAAACAAAAGUAUCCUUGCUUGCUAUCCAAUACUUUGUCACGAACUAUGGUUGCUAGUUUAUUUCAUGUAUUACUUGCACUAGUCAAUAUCUAACCAGCUAAGUUGAAUGGAGAAAGAUUUUAUGAGGACAUAUUCCCCUAUCCAAAGACAAGGGAUGAAAGACCUCCCAAUCUACUUCAUGUAACCACGGAGAAAGAAGUUGACAACUAAGGAACCGUCGUGUUUGUUUUUCUUCAAAGGCACAAUCUGCUCCUACUCAUCUUUAUUACCUUCCGUCAACUAUUAAGAUGUUUUAGUUUCCUAACUUUUAAAAGUGCAAAGAGCACAAACUACGCUUCAGAGCUGGAGCCUUAUACGAGCUAAUGAGACCUCACGCCAAAGCCAUCAAAUUAUCUUUCUGAUAGAUGCCUCUAUUUGUAUGGAGAAUUGGCUGCUAAUAGAUCUCACGCCGUGUCCUCCUCGUUUUCCCACCGCCUUCCGACUUGCGGGAGUAUACAAUGACAAUGUCAUGACGUGAGUGCCAGAUUGUGAGACUAGCUGUUGACGUCAGAUUGAAGAUUCCUGGAUUAUCAGUGGUCUCCUCCACGGCCUAUUGCAUCUAAAUACAUCCUUCCUUCUCAAUGCCAAAGCAUCCAAUGAGGAAAAAGCACAGAGAUAAGUAUGACAGGAGCAGUAAUCUAGUAGUUGACUCCAGCGAAGAUGAUGACACAUUAGCAAAUAUUAUUUCCCUACCAAGAUUGAAUCAAACUAUUACCAAGUAAACAUAGAUGAUUCCAAACACUUUCGAGCCAUAAAGGCAGCAAAAAAGGUCUUAUCUUAUAAGAGGAAAUCCAUACGCAAAAUUAACAUUUUGAUUCUAGCCCCUUAGUAGAAACAAAAGUUGUCCCACAAUGACGUGUUUCACCAAUUCCUGACUGAUGGCAGCACGUAGAGCAAAAUUCAUCUCAAGAUUUU
rnacentral:lncRNA from 1 species